rnacentral:rRNA from 1 species
ACUGCUCAGUAACACGUGGAUAACCUGCCCAAGGGUCCGGGAUAACCCCGGGAAACUGGGGAUAAUACCGGAUGGAUCACUAGUGCUGGAAUGCUUGGUGGUCGAAAGGUAACGCCUUUGGAUGGGUCUGCGGCGGAUUAGGUUGACGCCGGUGUAACGUACCGGCGUGCCUGUAAUCCGUACGGGUUGUGGGAGCAAGAGCCCGGAGAUGGAUUCUGAGACACGAAUCCAGGCCCUACGGGGCGCAGCAGGCGCGAAAACUCUACAAUGCAGGCAACUGCGAUAGGGGAACAUCGAGUGGCACCCACCAUGGGUGUCUGUCCAACCGUCUAAAAAACGGUUGUUAGCAAGGGCCGGGUAAGACCGGUGCCAGCCGCCGCGGUAAUACCGGCGGCUCGAGUGGUGGCCGAUAUUAUUGAGUCUAAAGGGUCCGUAGCCGGCUUUGCAAGUCCCCUGGGAAAUCCAGCGGCUUAACCGUUGGGCUUUCAUGGGAUACUACAUUGCUUGGGACUGGGAGAGGUAGGAGGUACUCGGGGGGUAGGGGUGAAAUCCUGUAAUCCUCCGGGGACCACCGGUGGCGAAGGCGUCCUACCAGAACAGGUCCGACGGUGAGGGACGAAAGCUGGGGGCACGAACCGGAUUAGAUACCCGGGUAGUCCUAGCCGUAAACGAUGCCCGCUAGGUGUCACGACGGUCGUGAAUCGUCGUGGUGCCGUAGGGAAGCCGCGAAGCGGGCCACUUGGGAAGUGCGGCCGCAAGGCUGAAACUUAAAGGAAUUGGCGGGGGAGCAC